rnacentral:misc_RNA from 1 species
CUCCUGGAUGUACGUGCUCUGCUCGCUCCACUCGAACAGUUGCCCGCCCUUGACCGGGAUCGCGUUCCACUCCUCGUUGCCCGCGGCCACGUUCGCGUAGCGCCGCGUGAACAUCUCCGGCUCGAUGCACAUCGCGACCGUCUCGUCGAUUUCCUGCUGGCUCGGCCAGAUGUCGCGCAGGUAGACCGCGUUCCCUUGCGGGUCGUAUCCGAGCGGGUCGGUCGUCAGGUCGAUGUCCAUCGUCCCGGCCAGCGCGUAG